rnacentral:lncRNA from 12 species
ACCAUCAAACCAGACCUUAAGCAUGAAGAAGACCACAGGGUGUAAAUUGUUUCAGUUGUUUUUCAUCUUUACCUAAAGAUUUUAAUUUUAGAAUUAUUUAGCAUAAGACACUUAUAUAAAAAUUAUAGAAAAUUAAUUUAUUCAGGAAAAUUUACUAAGCAAAUGUUACUUACUGUAGUAGGAAUACAUGAUGAACAAUACAGCCAUGAUUCUUCCAUUCUCCAAACGCUGACUAGAUAUCCUACAAUAUAAUUAAAUUCUGCUACUACUUACCCAGAGUUAGAAUCUGACUCCACAUAUUUAAGGGCUCAGCCUUCACUUCAGAGGCCAGUCACAAGUGUGGGGUCCCCAGCUUACCCACACUUCUGUCUGACUUGGCUACAAAUCAGGGAUCCCCACAACUCCUCACCACCUCAGGUUCAAGAAUUUGCUAGAAAGGCUCAUAGAACUCAGGAAAACAGUUUACUUAUGUUGACCAGUGUGUUAUAAUGAAUAUAACUCAGGAACAGCCAAAUGAAAGAAUGCGUGAGGCGAGGUAUGGAGGAAGGGGUAUGGAACUUCCAUGCUCUUUCUGGGAGAGCCACCCUUCAGUAUCUUGAUAAUCUAUGUAAGCAUGAUUGAUGAAAUCUUGGCCAUUGAUGAUUAACUCAGUCUCCAGCUCUUCUUCCCUCCUGGACGUUGCAGGAUGGGAUUGAAAGUUCCAAAUCCGUAAUCAUGCCUUGGCCUUUCUGGGAACCAGUGAUAAUCCUGAAGCUACCCAGAGAUUCCCAGACACCAGUCAUCUCAUUUUCAUACAGAAGAUUCUCUUAUCACUCUGGAGAACACAGUGUUUUAGGAGCUGUAUGCCAGGAACCAGGGACAAAGGCCAAAUAUCUAUUUCCUUGUCUCACUGGAGGUCCUGGAGAUAAAGAGGAGAGGAAAAGGAGACCAAAAUGGAGCAGCCAGUACAGUAGGAGGAAUAUAAUUUUAAGAGCUCCCUCAGGUUUGUGAGAAGUUUUCAUCCCACUGAAGAGCUGAGAGAACGUGAUAAAGUCACUGAUCACAAACUGACAGCCUAAAGCCUGGAGCUAAGCAAAUAACCUAUCACUGGAAGAACUGUUGAUCUUGGACAAAAAGUCAGAGUGAGUGUGAACUGUGGGAGAGAUGAUCUAGUGGGCUGCAGAGAGGCAGGUAAUGGAAGGGCAUGGUUUUCUAUCUUUGUAUGGGAAUAUCAUUUGCAUUUUUAAUGUAAUUUCCAGAUCAUUGAUCCCAAAGUGGAGAUCUGCACAGAGCAUGGCAGGUUGCAGUGCUACAUUUGAAUUCCCCUUGUUUUCCCUGGAGCCAGAUCAACACCUGGUCACUCCCACCCACGCCUCCCCAAGUCAAGCAGCAGACGCCAAUGUCUGGACAGGCAUGUUUCCAAGGGUCUGACUAGUUCCCUGCUGGGUCCCCAGUGUUUAGUGCAAUGCCAGGACCAUCAUAGCCACUCAGUACACACUUGUUGAAUGAAUGAAUGUUGAAUGAACUCCUCAGUCUCACAGACUUGCAGGAAAAGGUUCAUCAACUCAAUGUGACAGGUGAAGGAUCCUCUCAUAUUUCUGCACCUGUUGAACUGGGAAUCCAUGCCCUUAAUAAAUUUGCUUAGCAGCCCUUGGGAAACCA